rnacentral:rRNA from 1 species
UACGUAGGGGGCAAGCGUUGUCCGGAAUCAUUGGGCGUAAAGAGCGUGUAGGCGGCCCGAUAAGUCCGCUGUGAAAGUCCAGGGCUCAACCCUGGAAUGCCGGUGGAUACUGUCGGGCUCGAAUCCGGAAGAGGUGAGUGGAAUUCCUGGUGUAGCGGUGAAAUGCGCAGAUAUCAGGAGGAAUACCUAUGGCGAAAGCAGUCUUCUGGACCAUCACUGACGCUGAUCUGCGAAAGCUAGGGGAGCAAACAGG